rnacentral:rRNA from 1 species
AGAACGAACGCUGGCGGCAGGCCUAAUACAUGCAAGUCGAACGCACUCUUCGGAGUGAGUGGCAGACGGGUGAGUAACGCGUGGGAACCUUCCCAAUGGUACGGAAUAACUCCGGGAAACCGGUGCUAAUACCGUAUAAGCCCCUCGGGGGAAAGAUUUAUCGCCAUUGGAUGGGCCCGCGUCGGAUUAGCUAGUUGGUAAGGUAAUGGCUUACCAAGGCUACGAUCCGUAGCUGGUCUGAGAGGAUGAUCAGCCACACUGGGACUGAGACACGGCCCAGACUCCUACGGGAGGCAGCAGUAGGGAAUCUUGGACAAUGGGCGAAAGCCUGAUCCAGCCAUGCCGCGUGAGUGAAGAAGGCCUUAGGGUUGUAAAGCUCUUUUGGCGGGACGAUAAUGACGGUACCCGCAGAUAAGCCCGGCUAACUUCGUGCCAGCAGCCGC